UAAAGAAACUCUAUGUUCUAAACUGAUUCAAGCAAUUGAUCAUAAUGAAGGCUUCAGUUUAAUAUAACUUUGGAAAUAUUAACUAAUCAGUUUAUUGCAAAAGCAUUAAACUAAUUAUUUGUGUUUUUCUUGUGGUAAUGAAUUCAGCAAAGUGACAGAGGUACUGUUAUAAUUCUUACUUGCAAAAUGUUCAAUGCUCUGAGUAUUCAUGAAAGCCAAAAAAUAUUAAAGGAAAAUGAACAAACUGUAUUAAUAUUAAGCUUAUUGUACAGAAUCAUGGACUUUUUUUUGUCAUCUUCCAAUAAACAUACAAGCAUUGUGAAUACAUUGAAGUUUUACUAACAUGAAUUUUAAGAGUUUGCAUAUUUCACAAAUUAUCUGGUGUGUAAGUGCAUGGAAAUGUUGCUUAAUUUUCAAUCACUGAGUGAAAAACCUUUAUCUUUGGCCUGCAAUAGUCAUUCAAUUAUUUUUUCAUUUUGUAAAUAAUGUUAAGUUUUGUAAUAAAAUAGUUAUGUUCUGAUAC